GCCGCGGUGGCGGAACCGGUAGACGCGUUGGACUUAAAAUCCAAUGAUAGUAAUAUCGUGGGAGUUCAAGUCUCCCCCGCGGCA
rnacentral:tRNA from 1 species